CAGGACAGUGGUCAGGGCUAGGGAGGGAAGGAUGGGGAUCCAGUAGGGAGGAGCCAGGGUCGAGUGCCAGGGCCACUGUCAGAUGUCAUGAUUCCAGGUGCAGGACCAAGGGCCCAAGGAGAGCAAGAGGCCCAUGUGAGGGCAGGGCUCUGUUUUCCAAAGAUGCCCUGGCCCAGAUGAGAAUCAAGGGCCAGGGACCAGGCCAAGGGGCCUGGC
rnacentral:lncRNA from 1 species